UCGGGAAUAUUGCGGCAAUGGAGGAAACUCUGACGCAGUGACGCCGCGUAUAGGAAGAAGGUUUUCGGAUUGUAAACUAUUGUCGUUAGGGAAGAUACAAGACAGUACCUAAGGAGGAAGCUCCGGCUAACUACGUGCCAGCAGCCGCGGUAAUACGUAGGGAGCAAGCGUUAUCCGGAUUUAUUGGGUGUAAAGGGUGCGUAGACGGGAAAUUAAGUUAGUUGUGAAAUCCCUCGGCUUAACUGAGGAACUGCAACUAAAACUGGUUUCUUGAGUGCGGGAGAGGAAAGUGGAAUUCCUAGUGUAGCGGUGAAAUGCGUAGAUAUUAGGAGGAACACCAGUGGCGAAGGCGACUUUCUGGACCGUAACUGACGUUGAGGCACGAAAGUGUGGGGAGCAAACAGGAUUAGAUACCCUGGUAGU
rnacentral:rRNA from 1 species